CGGCCCAGGAGCCCAGUGACCGUUGCUAACUACACAGAAGAUGACCUAGAGUGAAGAGGAACUUAUGAGUGAUACACAAAAGCAGAGAUGGCCUGUUACAAAGUAGGAUAAAAUAUGACCUAUGCAGGUAAGUCUUUCUUCUAAUAUUUUCUCUGCUGGCAAGUCACAAUUUCUGAAAUCCCUGCCAUAGAAGUCACUCUUUUGGUUUAAGGCAAUGUCUUUCAAAAGCUUUUGUUUGCAUGUAAGAAUAUGCUACUGAAUGAUGGUAACAUCCAACACAGUGGAAGCUCUGGCCCCGAAAAUCUGAUGUUCCGUUCCUCCUAGGAGUGUGAAUGCUUAGCUAGAGACAACACUUAGCUGCCUCACAGCCGGAUAUGAUCAAUACCAAUAAAUGUAGGAAAAGAGAUGUGUCCAACUUCCACAUCACUUCCUCAAAAAUAAAUUGCUAUACUUGCAUUUUCCUUGAGAGAUAGAAUGGAGAUAUGGUAGAGAUCCAUUUUUAACCCAUUUAUGCCUAGUGUUCCAUUAUUAGAAUGCUAAGCCUGUGGGAGUUAUUUAUAUCCCACUGCUCAAGGUCAUUGCCAAGGUCUGAUUUUUCACAAAAAAUUUUUGCAACCUCUGGCAUAAAUAGGUUAAGCCAUGUCCUAAGCUAGGGAAUGGCAGAGCUUCAGGACAGAAAGACAUGGGACUCUGAGCAGACCUCAUAAGCAGAGUAACCCUGUUGGUAUUAACGAACCAGCCAGUUUCAUUAGACAGAAAUAGAAUUUUA
rnacentral:lncRNA from 10 species